GUACGCUGGCGGCACGCCUAACACAUGCAAGUCGAACGAAGUAGCAAUACUUAGUGGCAGACGGGUGAGUAACAUGUAGGUAUCUGCCCUUUGGCCUGGAAUAACACGAGGAAACUUGUGCUAAUACCGGAUAAGUCUUUACGGAGAAAGCUUUAUGCACCAUUGGAUGAGCCUGCACUUGAUUAGUUUGUUGGUAGGGUAAUGGCCUACCAAGACUGUGAUCAAUAGCUGAUUUGAGAGGAUGAUCAGCCACAUUGGGACUGAGACACGGCCCAAACUCCUACGGGAGGCAGCAGUGGGGAAUCUUGCACAAUGGAGGAAACUCUGAUGCAGCGAUGCCGCGUGAGUGAAGAAGGCCUUUGGGUUGUAAAGCUCUUUCGUCGGGGAAGAAAAUGACUGUACCCGAAUAAGAAGGUCCG
rnacentral:rRNA from 1 species